UACGGGGGGAGCAAACGUUGUCCGGAUUUAUUGGGCGUAAAGAGCGUGUAGGCGGCCAUACAGGUCCGUUGUGAAAACUGGAGGCUUAACCUCCAGACGUCGAUGGAAACCGUAUGGCUAGAGUCCGGAAGAGGAGAGUGGAAUUCCUGGUGUAGCGGUGAAAUGCGCAGAUAUCAGGAAGAACACCCGUGGCGAAGGCGGCUCUCUGGGACGGUACUGACGCUGAGACGCGAAAGCGUGGGGAGCGAACAGG
rnacentral:rRNA from 1 species